AGCAAUGGCUCCAGAUCUACUAAUUCAGUGUUUGCAGGGACUUUACCACAAAUAAGAAUCCACUAUGUGCACCUGCGUGUCAUCUACCAUUCCUGGUACGCAGAUUCUACAAACAUUCAUCCAUCACCCGCGAUGGACCAAGCACUAGGUUGAACCAAGUGACACACGGAUGCUGGUGCCCCACAAGCUCUUUGUGGGCAAGGUCUGGGUUUUCGCCACUCUGAGUCCCCAGGGCCAGGUUCCUGCUACAGCCUGGAACUGGAAAGGAAUCUGGGAGGAAGAGGUUGGGUGUUGGGGCCAGCAGACUAAGGGACAGAUCUUGCCCUGCCACUCAUUUGCUGUGCAACUCUCAGCAAAGCACCCAACCUCUCUGAGCCCUCGCUUCCCCAUCUGUGAAGUAGGGAUCAUAAGGCCCGUCCUGCAAGGUGGUUUCCGGGGUGAAAGUAGAAAAGGAGGCCUGUUCCUACAGCCUGUGUGCCCUGGGAGGCACUGCUCAUCAUCUGUGAUCCUUUUCUACCUGAUUACAGGAAAGGGGAGUCAUCUGCUCACUGACCCCCGACUGGGCUUUUCUCUGCCAGUGAAAUCAUUUGAAAUUGUCCAAGAAAAUCAGGAACCUGACCCGACGCCGAGUCACCGAGCUUGGUGCCAAGCACUCGGGGAGCUCCGGUUACAGAAAACAAGUGGAAUCCACAGGCCCCGGGCUGAACGUGGAACUAAUUUGGGAGGCAGUGAGAAAGAGCAGAACCUAACUCGGAGCCUGGGAGGCAGGACUGUCCUGACCCUGGUCGCCAUCCAGGUGGGGUAUCUGGGGCCCCUUGAAAUUUUCUAGCUCCUGCUUCUGAAGUGGGGAGAGCAGGGACAUGAGGAGGACCCACUUUGGGAUCUCAGGAUGGCUAUGUAGAGACUCGGGGCACAGGCCUGGGGUCGGAGCAACUGCAAUCACAUCCUGACCUGUCCCCUCCAUGCUGUGUGACCUGGAGCCUGUCACUUCACCUCUCUGAGCCUCAGCUGCCGCAUCUGUGAAUGUACGAUCUAGGGAUCCCCGCCUCAGAGAGCUGUUUCAUAGAAGGCUUCAUAAGCUGCUCUCAGGAAAUCAGAUAUGUCCAGACAUGACAUGGGGGGUGGGGGGCAGCAUCGGAGGAGCAAAGACCAGUAACAUCUCCCUCAUUCAUCUGUUCGUUCAGCAGAUACUUACGGAACAUGCAACCUGUGCCAGACUGGGGAACACAGGAGGCAACAAGACAGACCUAGCCCUGCCCAAAAGGAAACAAAUAGUGUGUAUCAAAUUGUAAUCAUCCUAUGAAGGAUAAGAACAGGGUGCUUGGAUAAAAAAAAAAAAAAAAACUGGGGUGGGCCAAGCGCGGUGGCUCACGCCUGUAAUCCCAGCACUUUGGGAGGCCAAGGUGGGCAGAUCAACCUGAGGUCAGGAGUUCAAGACCAGCCUGGCCAACAUGGCAAAACCCCAUCUCUACCAAAAGAUGCAAAAUUAGCCAGGCAUGGUGGUGGGCACCUGUAGUCCCAGCUACUGGGGAGGCAGAGGUGGGAGGAUCGCUUGAACCUGGGAGGUGGAGGUUGCAGUGAGCCAAGAUUGUGCCACUGCACUCUAGCCUGGGCGACAGAGUGAGACUCAGAAAGAAGGAAGGAGGGAGGGAGGGAGGGAGGGAGACAAUGAACCCAGAAUCUGGAUGGAUAGAAGGAUAGAGGAACGGAUAUGUCAUCACUCAAAUUUAGUAAAAUGUUAAUGAGUUGAUGUUGCUGUUUCAAAAUUUUCAUAAUAAAAUGUUGGG